UACGGUCAUAUCACAAUGAAACGCCGGUUCUCCUAAGUUCAUCGAAGUAAAGCAACGUCGAGGCUCAUCAGUACCUAGAUGGGUAACCUUUUGGGAAUACCAG